rnacentral:rRNA from 1 species
UAAGGAAUAUUGCGCAAUGGGCGACAGCCUGACGCAGCGACGCCGCGUGGGGGAUGAAGGUCUUCGGAUUGUAAACCCCUUUCGGCAGGGAAGAUGGAACGGGUAACCGUUCGGACGGUACCUGCAGAAGCAGCCACGGCUAACUUCGUGCCAGCAGCCGCGGUAAUACGAAGGUGGCAAGCGUUGUUCGGAUUUACUGGGCGUACAGGGAGCGUAGGCGGUUGGGUAAGCCCUCCGUGAAAUCUCCGGGCCUAACCCGGAAAGUGCGGAGGGGACUGCUCGGCUAGAGGAUGGGAGAGGAGCGCGGAAUUCCCGGUGUAGCGGUGAAAUGCGUAGAGAUCGGGAGGAAGGCCGGUGGCGAAGGCGGCGCUCUGGAACAUAUCUGACGCUGAGGCUCGAAAGCGUGGGGAGCAAACAGGAUUAGAUACCCACGUAGUCCCUGAGCGGGCUGGCAAGGCGCAU